CCUACGGGAGACAGCAGUGAGGAAUAUUGGUCAAUGGACGAGAGUCUGAACCAGCCAAGUAGCGUGAAGGAUGACUGCCCUAUGGGUUGUAAACUUCUUUUAUAAAGGAAUAAAACGAGGCACGUGUGCCUCUUUGCAUGUACUUUAUGAAUAAGGAUAGGCUAACUCCGUGCCAGCAGCCGCGGUAAUACGGAGGAUCCGAGCGUUAUCCGGAUUUAUUGGGUUUAAAGGGAGCGUAGAUGGGUUGUUAAGUCAGUUGUGAAAGUUUGGGGCUCAACCGUAAAAUUGCAAUUGAUACUGGCAGUCUUGAGUACAGGAGAGGUAGGCGGAAUUCGUGGUGUAGCGGUGAAAUGCUUAGAUAUCACGAAGAACCCCGAUGGCGAAGGCGGCUAUCUAGACUGUGACUGACAUUGAUGCGCGAAAGUGUGGGUAGCAAACAGGAUUAGAUACCCCUGUAGUC
rnacentral:rRNA from 1 species